CCGCGCCGUGAUGAGCCCCUUUUUGGCUGUCGAGUGUCGCCGCAAUGAGAGCCGCCUUCAUGCACUACCAGCUGAGCGCGG